rnacentral:tRNA from 1 species
GUGGGUGUAGCUCAGUUGGUAGAGCAUCAGAUUGUGGCUCUGAGGGUCGUGGGUCCGAAUCCCACCACUCACC